ACCUGGAGCCCAGUGUGGGGCGUGAAGUCACAGCUGUGAGAUCAAGACCUGAACUGAGACCAAGAAUUGAAUGUUUAAUGGACUGAGCUACUCAGGGUCCUGCCUUUAAGGAGUUCAUCAUCUGCCACAGAAGGCACACAUGGACAUAGCCAGUCUCUGUUCAGAGUGAUCAGUUUCUACAGAGGAAAACACAGGGUCUCUCUGUCCCUGCGAACAAGAUGCUUCUUAGAGAUGGAAAUAUCUGAGGGAUCUCUGGCCCACAGAUUAAAAACCAGUACUAUAAGAAUUCAGAUACAAGGAAGAUCAAUGUGCCUAAAAUAUGUUCUAGGGAAGGUAGGGCUUUGGCUUGAGUUUCAAGAAUGAGAAGAAAAGGAGGAAAUGGCCGUGGAAAGACCAGAAAGGAAAAAUUUGAAAAUAUAUGAAGAAAAUAGAGAACUUUCUUUCUACUGAAUUAAUGGUCUUUUAUGAAUUUUAAGUUACCAUCAUUAUUUGUUUUAACAGUGGAACUGUUGAGCUCAUAGAAAAACCAGACAGGCCUCAUCCUGGAGUACCACUGAGGGCAGUAGGAAGCUGCGGUAAGCUUUUAGUCAGCAAAGUAUGGUUGUUGGAUUUGGAUAUUACUUUUUUUUUUUUUUUAAGAUUUUAUUUAUUUAUUCAUGAGAGACAGAGAGAGAGAGAGAGAGAGAGAGAGAGAGAGAGAGGCAGAGACACAGGCAGAGGGAGAAGCAGGCUCCACACAGGGAGCUCAAUGUGGGACUCCAUCCCUGGACUCCAGGAUCAUGCCCUGGGCCGAAGGCGGCCCUAAACCGCUGAGCCACCUGGGCUGCCCGGAAAUUAUAUUUUUUUGAAAAAGUCUUAUAAUUUAAAAAAAACUAUGUGCUCUCGUUAAACAAUUCAGGCAAUAAGAAAAUAAAAAUUAUUUGGUAUCUGACACCCUUUCUUCCAAGAUAAUCACUAAUAAUAUUUUGGGGAACCUCUUUCCUGAAAUCUGUGCUUAUAGAAUAUCGUUUCAAAUAUCACAAAUUGUACCAUUAUAAACAUGCUGUUCUG